rnacentral:rRNA from 1 species
UACGAAGGGGGCUAGCGUUGUUCGGAAUGACUGGGCGUAAAGGGCGCGUAGGCGGCGCAUCAAGUCGGGCGUGAAAGCCCCGGGCUCAACCUGGGAACUGCGUUCGAGACUGGUGUGCUAGAGUUCGGGAGAGGAGAGUGGAAUUCCCAGUGUAGAGGUGAAAUUCGUAGAUAUUGGGAAGAACACCAAUGGCGAAGGCAGCUCUCUGGACCGAUACUGACGCUGAGGCGCGAAAGCGUGGGGAGCAAACAGGAUUAGAAACCCCCAGUAGU